GAUGAACGCUAGCGGCGUGCCUAAUACAUGCAAGUCGAGCGAACAGAUAAGGAGCUUGCUCCUUUGACGUUAGCGGCGGACGGGUGAGUAACACGUGGGUAACCUACCUAUAAGACUGGGAUAACUUCGGGAAACCGGAGCUAAUACCGGAUAAUAUUUCGAACCGCAUGGUUCGAUAGUGAAAGAUGGUUUUGCUAUCACUUAUAGAUGGACCCGCGCCGUAUUAGCUAGUUGGUAAGGUAACGGCUUACCAAGGCGACGAUACGUAGCCGACCUGAGAGGGGGAUCGGCCACACUGGAACUGAGACACGGUCCAGACUCCUACGGGAGGCAGCAGUAGGGAAUCUUCCGCAAUGGGCGAAAGCCUGACGGAGCAACGCCGCGUGAGUGAUGAAGGUCUUCGGAUCGUAAAACUCUGUUAUUAGGGAAGAACAUACGUGUAAGUAACUGUGCACGUCUUGACGGUACCUAAUCAGAAAGCCACGGCUAACUACGUG
rnacentral:rRNA from 1 species